rnacentral:rRNA from 1 species
UUUUAGUGGCGGACGGGUGAGUAACGCGUGGGUAACCUGCCUCACACUGGGGGAUAACACUUAGAAAUAGGUGCUAAUACCGCAUAAGCGCACGGGACUGCAUGGUCUUGUGUGAAAAACUCCGGUGGUGUGAGAUGGACCCGCGUCUGAUUAGCUGGUUGGCGGGGUAACGGCCCACCAAGGCGACGAUCAGUAGCCGGCCUGAGAGGGUGGACGGCCACAUUGGGACUGAGACACGGCCCAGACUCCUACGGAAGGCAGCAG